GGAGACGUGGCAGAGCGGCCGAAUGCACUGGUCUUGAAAACCAGCGAGGUUAAACCCUCCGCGGGUUCAAAUCCCGCCGUCUCCG
rnacentral:tRNA from 1 species